AACGAACGCUGGCGGCAUGCCUAACACAUGCAAGUCGAACGAGACCUUCGGGUCUAGUGGCGCACGGGUGCGUAACGCGUGGGAACCUGCCCUUAGGUUCGGAAUAACUCCCCGACAGGGGUGAUAAUACCGGAUCAUGUCUUCGGACCAAAGAUUUAUCGCCUUUGGAUGGGCCCGCGUUGGAUUAGCUAGUUGUUAGGGUAAAAGCCUACCAAGGCGACGAUCCAUAGCUGGUCUGAGAGGAUGAUCAGCCACACUGAGACUGAGACACGGCCCAGACUCCUACGGGAGGCAGCAGUGGGGAAUAUUGGACAAUGGGCGAAAGGCUGAUCGAGCAAUGCCGCGUGAGUGAUGAAGGCCUUAGGGUUGUAAAGCGCUUUUAACCGGGAUGAUAAUGACAGUACCGGGAGAAUAAGCUCCGGCUAACUCCGUG
rnacentral:rRNA from 1 species